AUGAGGGGCUUCCUCUCCGCUCUCGCUCUCGCUCGCGCGGCGGCGCGGACGCGGGCGGAGCUCCAGGGCACGCGCGGCCGCCGACUGUCCCACUGCGCCGCGGCGCCGGCGAGGCCUUCCUUCGGCAUCGCCUUCGACAUCGACGGGGUCAUCCUGCGCGGCCGUAGCCCUAUCGGGGGCUCGCCGCAGGCCAUCCGACGCCUCUACUCCGACGAUGGUACCCUGAAGAUUCCUUUUCUGUUCUUAACCAAUGGAGGUGGUGUUCCAGAGCAUAAACGAGCCCUAGAAUUAAGUGACCUUUUGGGAGUUAACAUCUCUCCAGCACAGGUUGUGCAUGGCCAUUCUCCUUACGGAGAUCUGGUGAAGCGUUUUGAAGAUGAUCUUAUCGUUGCUGUUGGAAAAGGAGAGCCUGCAUCAGUGAUGGCCGAGUAUGGGUUUAGAAAGGUUCUGUCCAUAGAUGACUAUUCAUCACAUUUUAAGGAAAUUGACCCCCUAGCUCCUUUCAAGAAAUGGAAAGUGGGACAACCAGACUGUAAAGACUUUAUGUCUGAGAAAAUGCAUCCACCAUAUGAUGUUUACCAGGAGAGAGUUAAAGGAGUGUUUGUUGUCAGUGACCCUGUUGAUUGGGUAGAGAUCUACAGGGUACUUUGUGACAUCUUGUCAACUGGUGGACUUCCUGGAAAUGGAAAAGGAGAUCAACCUCCUUUAUAUUUUUCGGCUGAUGAUCUUGAAUAUCAGGCUGCAUUUCCUUCUGAGCGGCUUGGGAUGGGUGCCUUCCGGAUAGCACUCGAAAGCAUCUUCAAUCAAGUUAAUGAUGUUCCACUGAAGUAUACAUCUUAUGGGAAGCCUAAUCCAUUUGUGUUCAAGAAUGCAGCUAAUAUACUAGAAAAAAUUGUUAUGGAUAUGUAUCCAAAUUCACAGCCGAGGAAUGAAGUACAAGACCAUCAGUUCUCUACUAUCUACAUGAUCGGUGAUAAUCCUAAAGUUGAUAUCAAUGGAGUUUUGAAGGCUGGCCCCCCUUGGUCGUCCGUCCUUACUAGGACUGGUGUUUUUAGGGGAAAUGAUAAUGAUCCAAAGUUUCCUGCUGAUUUGGUUGUUGAUACUGUUGACGAUGCUAUCAGCUGUAUUUUGGAAAAGGAAUGUAUACGGUGA
rnacentral:rRNA from 1 species